GAUGAACGCUGGCGGCGUGCCUAAUACAUGCAAGUCGAGCGAACAGAUGAGGAGCUUGCUCCUCUGACGUUAGCGGCGGACGGGUGAGUAACACGUGGAUAACCUACCUAUAAGACUGGGAUAACUUCGGGAAACCGGAGCUAAUACCGGAUAAUAUAUUGAACCGCAUGGUUCAAUAGUGAAAGACGGUUUUGCUGUCACUUAUAGAUGGAUCCGCGCCGCAUUAGCUAGUUGGUAAGGUAACGGCUUACCAAGGCAACGAUGCGUAGCCGACCUGAGAGGGUGAUCGGCCACACUGGAACUGAGACACGGUCCAGACUCCUACGGGAGGCAGCAAUAGGGAAUCUUCCGCAAUGGGCGAAAGCCUGACGGAGCAACGCCGCGUGAGUGAUGAAGGUCUUCGGAUCGUAAAACUCUGUUAUUAGGGAAGAACAAAUGUGUAAGUAACUAUGCACGUCUGGACGGUACCUAAUCAGAAAGCCACGGCUAACUACGU
rnacentral:rRNA from 1 species